UCUUCAGUAGCUUAGUGGUAGAGCGAAUGGCUGUUAACUAUUAGGUCGUUGGUUCGAAUCCAACCUGAAGAG
rnacentral:tRNA from 1 species